UUAAACACGUGUCAAUCAUAACACACUUUACAAUUUUUAUUUCUUUUAUAGUUAAGUAUAAUAGUAGUAAUUAGUGUAUAUCGAGUACUUAGACGGUAGUUAGGUAACUCCGCCUGUGUUUGAGGGUGAAUAGAAUAAAUUUUAUAAGAUUAUUUUAUUCUACCUCAUCGCAGCCAGUCCCAAGCCUGGAUAAAGGAGGAGGUGGUAGUUUUGCAUUAAUACAGAAAGUUUCAGAUAUAAUUUGCUCAGUAUGAUGUGAAACACCUCGCUGCCAGUCAAAAAAAUUGAAAACAGUGUUCCUUUUUGCGGAUAUUUGUCAUAGAUCGCAGAAGACGGACAAACAACACAAAAUAAUAGGUUUAAUAUGACAACAUUAAAUCACAAAAACGCCACAAUUGAUUCCCAGUAGAAAUAGGAAAAUAUAAAAGACCAGUUUCAUCCAUAGGAAGAAAGAUACUACUUAUUUUACCAAUAAAAGGACUUGAGGGCAAAAUAUUUUACAUAUUAGGUACAUAUAAAGUUUUGAUGAAGAAUUUUGAUGAGAAAAAAUAUCAAAAAUGCCACAAAUUACUCUAUAACAUAAAGACAGUUUCAUCAGGAGGAGGAAUGACACAACCAAUAAAAGGAAUAAUUGAAGUCAAAAUAUUGUACAUAUAUAAAACAGGCUUUGUAUCAGUACAAAAUGGAAUCACCAGUUAACCAGACGCGCCAGGUGCUCAAAGCAGCGUCACUAAGAAGAAACACGUGAAAGCACGAAACAGACCACCAUCGUGCUCCGUGGCUUAAUCCGCAUUGUUACGCUCCUAUUGGUCUUAGCAAGAUGUUAUAUGUUUAGCCUUUAAUAUGUUGAUCCGACCUGUUUUUAUAAUAUCUAUUCAAAAUUUUAAGUUUAUCCAUGCACUACUGUUUACGUCUAGCCCGGGGUAGCAUAUUUUUUGCUUCGAUUAUUAUUUUGUAAAUCGCACCCAAAAAUAUUCAAGUGUAUUUUCCUACGUUUUUUUUAUGUAUAGAUUUUAUUUUAGUUGUAUGUUAUUCGUUUUUUGUAUAAAUUUAUACCUAUAGAUUUUCUUUAAAAAUGAAAAAAUGUAUUACUGUUACCAUUAGUUGAAUAAUAUAGUCAUGUUAAUAAUAUAAUCAUGUUAAUAAAACCUUUUAGUUUCAAU